rnacentral:sRNA from 1 species
AGACUGUUCUCCCUUGAUUCAGGCUCUAGAGAAGCAUUCAAAGGUUGGGACUAUAUUUCUGACAUCGUUAUUAAGUGAUUUUACUACAGAUGAGAAGGCUUGGAGGUCUUCCCCUAUCUCAACAUUGUCUGUUCUAAAGCCUAAUGCAGCUUUGUCUGUAUUUGCUGACCAGGAGCAUGGGGAAGUGAUUGACUGUGUGCAGGAGCUGAGCCACUCCGUGAACAAGCUGUUUGGUCUGGCGUCUGCAGCCGUUGACAGAUGCGUCAGAUUCACCAAUGGCCUGGGGACCUGCGGCCUGUUGUCAGCCCUGAAAUCCCUCUUUGCCAAGUAUGUGUCUGAUUUCACCAGCACUCUCCAGUCCAUACGAAAGAAGUGCAAACUGGACCACAUUCCUCCUAACUCCCUCUUCCAGGAAGAUUGGACGGCUUUUCAGAACUCCAUUAGGAUAAUAGCCACCUGUGGGGAGCUUUUGCGGCAUUGUGGGGACUUCGAGCAGCAGCUAGCCAACAGGAUUUUGUCCACAGCUGGGAAGUAUCUAUCUGAUUCCUGCAGCCCCCGGAGCCUGGCUGGUUUUCAGGAGAGCAUCUUGACAGACAAGAAGAACUCUGCCAAGAACCCAUGGCAAGAAUAUAAUUACCUCCAGAAAGAUAACCCUGCUGAAUAUGCCAGUUUAAUGGAAAUACUUUAUACCCUUAAGGAAAAAGGGUCAAGCAACCACAACCUGCUGGCUGCACCUCGAGCAGCGCUGACUCGGCUUAACCAGCAGGCCCACCAGCUGGCUUUCGAUUCCGUGUUCCUGCGCAUCAAACAACAGCUGUUGCUUAUUUCCAAGAUGGACAGCUGGAAUACGGCUGGCAUCGGAGAAACCCUCACAGAUGAACUGCCUGCCUUUAGUCUCACCCCUCUCGAGUACAUCAGCAAC